GGCCGAUUGGUCAAGCGGUUAAGACACCGCCCUUUCACGGCGGUAACACGGGUUCAGAUCCCGUACGGGUCACCA
rnacentral:tRNA from 1 species